rnacentral:rRNA from 1 species
UACAGAGGUCUCAAGCGUUGUUCGGAAUCACUGGGCGUAAAGGGUGCGUAGGUGGCGUGGUAAGUCAGAUGUGAAAGCCCGAGGCUCAACCUCGGAAUUGCAUCCGAUACUACCAUGCUAGAGUACUGAAGAGGUGACUAGAAUUCUCGGUGUAGCAGUGAAAUGCGUAGAUAUCGAGAGGAAUACCAAAGGCGAAGGCAGGUCACUGGGCAGUUACUGACACUGAGGCACGAAGGCUAGGGGAGCAAACGGG